rnacentral:tRNA from 1 species
GCGAGAGUAGUUCAGUGGCAGAACACAAGCCUUCCAAGCUUGAUACGAGGGUUCGAUUCCCUUCUCUCGCU